CGGCGGACGGGUGAGUAACACGUGGAUAACCUACCUAUAAGACUGGGAUAACUUCGGGAAACCGGAGCUAAUACCGGAUAAUAUAUUGAACCGCAUGGUUCAAUAGUGAAAGACGGUUUUGCUGUCACUUAUAGAUGGAUCCGCGCCGCAUUAGCUAGUUGGUAAGGUAACGGCUUACCAAGGCAACGAUGCGUAUCCGACCUGAGAGGGUGAUCGGCCACACUGGAACUGAGACACGGUCCAGACUCCUACGGGAGGCAGCAGGC
rnacentral:rRNA from 1 species